GCCCUUCAGCUACUGGCACCGUAGUGGCAGGACGCUGGAAGAGGGACUUAUGCUGGCGGGAUGCAGGGGAGCUAGGCUGCCCUGGUCCACCUUGCCUUCUGUGGGGUAGCCAGCAGUGCGGAUGACUGACACUGGCGCAGCUCGACCCCGGGAGAAACAGGGAGGUCUAGUGCGUCUCUGUUGUCCCUGAUGGUCUGGAACAAAAAGAAAA